rnacentral:lncRNA from 1 species
GCCAGAAGGUCUGACAAAGCCUCUUCUCCCUCUGCCUUGUUCAUUUAUUUCCAUGAAAAGUCGCCAAAGACGUUUAAAAUUAGGAUUGUUCUGGAAAAUUCAGGCUAGAUGGACACCAGAUGUAUAUAGGGAAUCAGGGCACACCCCUAGGAAACACUCAAUAGAUGUCUGUUCAACGAAGGAAUGAAAACUCUGGACUGAUAUUUAGAAAAUUAAGCCAAAACAACCCUGAAAUUUAACAUGCCUGCCUUCAGAGGUUCUACAGGUUUUCGAUUUAUCUUUUUUUUUUUUUUUUUUAAUACACAGCAAAGGGAAGGACAGCCAAGCAUUUCUUGGCUGAAUUUUUCUAUUUUGCUUUCAGUUUCUGCCGUUUCAGUUCCUGUUAUCUCGCGUCACGGGCCACCCAAGUGCAGCAGAGCCCGGGGGUAUCUGAGGCCGCUGGAAACAUCCAGCAGCAGCAGGAGGGACUAAUAAUGGGAGGUGCACACAGCGCGCACGCAGGAAACGCCAGGACAGGGACACAGACAGAACCCCGGUACGAAGCACUUUUUGGAAAGGCUUUACUGCAAAAGGACGAGAAGACUUUACAGAUGCACCACCCCUACCUCCCGCCACACCAUUCAUUUUCAGACUUGUCGGGUGAUGGCACAGGCACAGAAGGAAAGGAAGAUAAGAUUGUUUUCUCAUUAAAUUUCAAGCUUCAGAAUGAAAAAAAUGGUAAAAUAAAUUUUACGUGUAAGUUUGGUAUCCUUUUUUGGGGCGGGUGAGGGUAGGCAAAGAGUUACAGAGAAUCUAAUGAGAAUUGUGGACUAUCCUUUAUAAAAUACAUUGAUAAGAGGG